rnacentral:rRNA from 1 species
CAAGGGCAACCGGCGAACGGGUGCGUAACACGUGAGCAACCUACCCAGGUGUGGGGGAUAGCCGUCCCAACGGACGGGUAAUACCGCAUACGCUCAACACGAGGCAUUUCGAGUUGAGGAAACCUUCGGGGCACCAUGAGGGGCUCGCGGCCUAUCAGCUAGUUGGCGAGGUAACGGCUCACCAAGGCUACGACGGGUAGCUGGUCUGAGAGGAUGACCAGCCACAUUGGGACUGAGAAACGGCCCAGACUCCUACGGGAGGCAGCAGUGGAGAAUCUUGCGCAAUGGCCUAACGGCUGACGCAGCGACGCCGCGUGUGGGAGGACGCCUUUCGGGGUGUAAACCACUGUUGCCCGGGACGAACAGCCCUUUUCGAGGGGUCUGACGGUACCGGGUGAGGAAGCACCGGCUAACUCCGUGCCAGCAGCCGCGGUAAUACGGAGGGUGCGAGCGUUGUCCGGAAUCAUUGGGCGUAAAGGGCGCGUAGGUGGCCCAGUAAGCGUGCGGUGAAAGCUCGGGGCUCAACCCCGAGUCGGCCGUGCGAACUACUGGGCUCGAGCACUGUAGAGGCAGGCGGAAUUCCGGGUGUAGCGGUGGAAUGCGUAGAGAUCCGGAAGAACACCGGUGGCGAAGGCGGCCUGCUGGGCAGUUGCUGACACUGAGGCGCGACAGCGUGGGGAGCAAACAGGAUUAGAUACCCUGGUAGUCCACGCCGUAAACGAUGGGCACUAGGCGCUUGGGGGAGCGACCCCCCGAGGGCCGGCGCUAACGCAUUAAGUGCCCCGCCUGGGGAGUACGGCCGCAAGGCUGAAACUCAAAGGAAUUGACGG